rnacentral:rRNA from 1 species
GACGAACGCUGGCGGCGUGCUUAACACAUGCAAGUCGAGCGGAAAGGCCCUUCGGGGUCCUCGAGCGGCGAACGGGUGAGUAACACGUGAGUAACCUGCCCCAGACUUUGGGAUAACCCUCGGAAACGGGGGCUAAUACCGGAUACGACACAGCUUCGCAUGGGGUCUGUGUGGAAAGUUUUUCGGUUUGGGAUGGGCUCGCGGCCUAUCAGCUUGUUGGUGGGGUGAUGGCCUACCAAGGCGACGACGGGUAGCCGGCCUGAGAGGGCGACCGGCCACACUGGGACUGAGACACGGCUCAGACUCCUACGGGAGGCAGCAGUGGGGAAUAUUGCACAAUGGGCGGAAGCCUGAUGCAGCGACGCCGCGUGAGGGAUGACGGCCUUCGGGUUGUAAACCUCUUUCAGCAGGGACGAAGCGUAAGUGACGGUACCUGCAGAAGAAGCGCCGGCCAACUACGUG